rnacentral:lncRNA from 1 species
AAGAAAUAAUAUGUCACUAGGAUGAACGGUUUAAUGGUUGAAGGUAGGUAAUGGAUCAUGAAAGAUAUGAGUGAUGCCCUAGGGAGGAAGGAGGAAUAAUUAGGAGUAUGCUCGCCAAGUAUUCGCAUCCUCGUUCCUACGUAUUCUUAUUGUUCAAUGAGAAAAUCAGAGCAAUCGUAGUUCGUGGAACCACGGAAAGAAC